GGCCUGUAUCCUUGCUGAGAUUUCGUCACACACCAGAAAACAAGGGUUGAUGAAACUCUCAAAAUAAGUGAAGCG
rnacentral:pre_miRNA from 1 species